rnacentral:rRNA from 1 species
GUCGACGAUGAUCCCAGCUUGCUGGGUGGAUUAGUGGCGAACGGGUGAGUAACACCUGUGUAACCUGCCCCUGACUCUGGGAUAAGCGUUGGAAACGACGUCUAAUACUGGAUAUGAUCACUGGCCGCAUGGUCUGGUGGUGGAAAGAUUUUUUGGUUGGGGAUGGACUCGCGGCCUAUCAGCUUGUUGGUGAGGUAAUGGCUCACCAAGGCGACGACGGGUAGCCGGCCUGAGAGGGUGACCGGCCACACUGGGACUGAGACACGGCCCAGACUCCUACGGGAGGCAGCAGUGGGGAAUAUUGCACAAUGGGCGAAAGCCUGAUGCAGCAACGCCGCGUGAGGGAUGACGGCCUUCGGGUUGUAAACCUCUUUUAGUAGGGAAGAAGCGAAAGUGACGGUACCUGCAGAAAAAGCACCGGCUAACUACGUGCCAGCAGCCGCGGUAAUACGUAGGGUGCAAGCGUUGUCCGGAAUUAUUGGGCGUAAAGAGCUCGUAGG